rnacentral:rRNA from 1 species
AACGAACGCUGGCGGCAGGCUUAACACAUGCAAGUCGAACGGGUGUAGCAAUACAUCAGUGGCAGACGGGUGAGUAACACGUGGGAACCUUCCUAGGGGUACGGAACAACUCAGGGACACUUGAGCUAAUACCGUAUACGUCCGUGGGGAGAAAGAUUUAUCGCCCUUAGACGGGCCCGCGUCGGAUUAGGUAGUUGGUGGGGUAACGGCCUGCCAAGCCUACGAUCCGUAGCUGAUCUUAGAGGAUGAUAAGCCACACUGGGACUGAGACACGGCCCAGACUCCUACGGGAGGCAGCAGUGGGGAAUCUUGGACAAUGGGCGCAAGCCUGAUCCAGCCAUGCCGCGUGAGUGAAGAAGGCCUUAGGGUUGUAAAGCUCCUUUACCAGGGACGAUAAUGACGGUACCUGGAGAAUAAGCCCCGGCAAACUUCGUGCCAGCAGCCGCAGUAACAC